rnacentral:rRNA from 1 species
GACGAACGCUGGCGGCGUGCUUAACACAUGCAAGUCGAACGGAAAGGCCCUGCUUUUGUGGGGUGCUCGAGUGGCGAACGGGUGAGUAACACGUGAGUAACCUGCCCUUGACUUUGGGAUAACUUCAGGAAACUGGGGCUAAUACCGGAUAGGAGCUCCUGCUGCAUGGUGGGGGUUGGAAAGUUUCGGCGGUUGUGGAUGGACUCGCGGCUUAUCAGCUUGUUGGUGGGGUAGGGGCUUACCAAGGCUUUGACGGGUAGCCGGCCUGAGAGGGUGACCGGCCACAUUGGGACUGAGAUACGGCCCAGACUCCUACGGGAGGCAGCAGUGGGGAAUAUUGCACAAUGGGCGGAAGCCUGAUGCAGCAACGCCGCGUGCGGGAUGACGGCCUUCGGGUUGUAAACCGAUUUCGCAUGUGACGAAGCGUGAGUGACGGUAAUGGGUAAAGAAGCACCGGCUAACUACGUG